rnacentral:RNase_P_RNA from 1 species
AUGUUCUGGUAAUCGCUGCGACAUUUGUUGUUGCCAGAGGAAAGUCCAUGCUCGCACGGUGCUGAGAUGCCUGUAGUGAUCGUGCCUAGCGAAUUCAUAAGCUAGGGCAAUUUGGCUUAACGCUGAAUUGAUGGCGGGAAAAAACGCCUAAGUCUCAUUUGAGAUAUGGCUGAGUAUCCCUGAAAGUGCCACAGUGACGAAACUUAUAGGGAAACCUUUAAGAUGGAACGCGGUAAACCCCACGAGCGAGAAACCCAAACUUUGGUAGGGGAAUCUUCCCAAAGGAAUUGAACGGAGGGAAGGACAGAGGUGCUUUGUUUCUCUGUAGAUAGAUGAUUACCACCUAAGUACAAGGUUAAAACCGUUUGAAGUACAAAGGUACAAAACAUGGCUUAUCGAA